rnacentral:rRNA from 1 species
AGGGAAUCUUCCACAAUGGACGCAAGUCUGAUGGAGCAACGCCGCGUGAGUGAAGAAGGUUUUCGGAUCGUAAAGCUCUGUUGUUGGUGAAGAAGGAUAGAGGCAGUAACUGGUCUUUAUUUGACGGUAAUCAACCAGAAAGUCACGGCUAACUACGUGCCAGCAGCCGCGGUAAUACGUAGGUGGCAAGCGUUGUCCGGAUUUAUUGGGCGUAAAGCGAGCGCAGGCGGAAUGAUAAGUCUGAUGUGAAAGCCCACGGCUCAACCGUGGAACUGCAUCGGAAACUGUCAUUCUUGAGUGCAGAAGAGGAGAGUGGAACUCCAUGUGUAGCGGUGGAAUGCGUAGAUAUAUGGAAGAACACCAGUGGCGAAGGCGGCUCUCUGGUCUGCAACUGACGCUGAGGCUCGAAAGCAUGGGUAGCGAACAGGAUUAGAUACCCUGGUAGUCCAUGCCGUAAACGAUGAGCGCUAGGUGUUGGGGACUUUCCGGUCCUCAGUGCCGCAGCAAACGCAUUAAGCGCUCCGCCUGGGGAGUACGACCGCAAGGUUGAAAC